UGUAGCUGGCAAGCAAAGCGGCGUUAUGAAUAAAUUUAAGUUGCUAUAGAAACAAUGUUCUGUUGAUUGUCACUUGUGUCAUAGAAAAUAAAAAGAGCUAUCCAUUGUGUAUUCCUACUGUUGUAAUAAAUUAAUUUCGUGGACAAAUCUAUCUUCUAUUUUUUCUACUGUAAAAUCACACUCAGCCACACGCUCACACACGUCUGACAGUGACAAGACAAGGGAUUUUUCUUGUUUUGACGUAUUUUCUAACCUCUUAGAAUGUUAUUAGAAGUCGUAAUAAAGCUAUGUUUUAAAGUAAAUAAAGACCAUAUUAACGAUGUUAACAUGAUGAGACAUCGAUUUUAUGGAAUGGAGGAGAAGAUUUAACAGCUAGAUUAUUAACAAAAAUCUUGCAAGAGCAUCGAGAUCUCGCUUUUGGCGAGUGGAAGUCCAAAGGCAAAGUGCAGCGGUUUGCAGUUCUUAGCCUCACUUUUUUGGACCUAACAGGACAGGAAAAGAAUAGUCAAAGAGGAAACCCGAGUAGCCAGAUGAUAAUAUAUGAAACCAUGAGCAGCCAGCCAUUGAAACUCUCAGCAAUUUGAAUAACGAUUUUGAUUAUUACCAAUCAUGUAUCAUACCUAUUAAUAGAAAAUUAAAACUGUUAGGUACCUAUGUUUUA